UACGUAGGUGGCAAGCGUUGUCCGGAAUUAUUGGGCGUAAAGCGCGCGCAGGCGGUUCCUUAAGUCUGAUGUGAAAGCCCACGGCUCAACCGUGGAGGGUCAUUGGAAACUGGGGGACUUGAGUGCAGAAGAGGAGAGCGGAAUUCCACGUGUAGCGGUGAAAUGCGUAGAGAUGUGGAGGAACACCAGUGGCGAAGGCGGCUCUCUGGUCUGUAACUGACGCUGAGGCGCGAAAGCGUGGGGAGCAAACAGGAUUA
rnacentral:rRNA from 1 species